UGCAGCUGGCUCAGGAGCGGAACAUGGGGGCUGCUGCCGGUAGCACUGACACUGUCCGGUAGCCUGAGAGGAUAGGAAGUGAAUCAGAGUGCCGUCUAUAGCUGAAAAUGCAGAGAAAAGGAUGCAUGCAAAAGAUGGAGCAGCUUUCCCUUCUCUUCGGUACUCUCAGCCUCUGAACCACUUUCCUGUGCUCCCUUUGCAUGCAGUUGUUGUAGCAAGGAUGUGAAAAAGAUGUUGCAGAUCCUUUCGGUUUUUAAAGUAGGGGGGAAGAGAAUCCCCAAAACAGCAAAUCCUGCAUAUAUUCGAGGCUUCUUGGAUUCAGUUCACAAAUUCUCUUUGGAUAAACCUAAUGCACUUUGGAGCACAUUCGAUUGGCAUCCCUGCGGAGAGAAGGCUUAACAGGGCAAAUGUGUCACACUGUUACUGCAAUGCUUCUUCUAAAAAAGAGUAGGCCCUUACUGUACUCUGCCUCUGGGGGUAAUGAGGAUAUCUGUGGUGACUCAUACAGAUGUAUUGCUUUAGAAAGUUAUAAAAUAGCACUUCAAAAGAUGGCAGAGUGACAUUAGGACUAGGGGACUUUUCAAACUAUUUAUCCAAGUAUAUGCAGUUUCCAUGUCAAGGGGAGUUGAAUCUAUAAUAGAUAUCACUGAGCAAAGAAAGUUAAUCCUUAUCUAAACAGCUUUAUUACGCCAAACAUUAAAAAAAAUCCAUUGGUAUA